AUUGAACGCUGGCGGCAUGCCUAACACAUGCAAGUCGAACGGCAACACGGACUUCGUUCUUGCUUCGCGUGGGGGACGGGUGCGUGAGGUAAAUGUACGUGCCCAGUCGCGAUGGAUGGGGAAACGUAAGGGAAGCGGAUACCACACCCGCAUAACGUCGGAAAACCAGGGAUCGGAAGAUCCGGGCCUCUUUGCGUCGGCUGUGCCCGGGUGGGAUUAGCUAGUAGGUGAGGUAACGGCUCACCAAGGCGACGAUCCGUAGCUGGUCUGAGAGGAUGACCAGCCACACUGGAACUGAGACACGGUCCAGACUCCUACGGGAGGCAGCAGUGGGGAAUAUUGCACAAUGGGCGCAAGCCUGAUGCAGCCAUGCCGCGUGUGUGAUGAAGGCCUUCGGGUUGUAAAGCACUUUUAGCAGGGAGGAAGCGAGGAGAGCUAAUACCUUGUCGAAUUGACGGUACCUGCAGAAGAAGCACCGGCUAACUCCGUG
rnacentral:rRNA from 1 species